CAUAAAUUGGUUGGCUGGGAGUAUAAAAGGAGCGCAUUACAUUCUCAACUACCCUCAUUAGUUCUCCCUCUCUCUCUGUCAGUAGAUCUCUGACCAAGUCUCAUGUCUUCCCUAUAAAUAGAUGGUUGAAGGGAUGCCCUUCUACACUCACCCACUCCUCUUCGAUUGCCUGAGCCAUAUAGUUGGUUGCUACAAUGAAGCGAGUUUCCUUUUCCUUCUUGUUUGUAGCCCUUCUCUUACUGGUGCAGGUGGCUUUUGCACGUGAAAUGGCUGAAAAUCAGAAUAAGAAGGAUGCAAGAGGCGAGGUUGUUAAAGAUUGCAUACCCUGCAAUGCUGCUGGCAAGUGCUGCCCAGAGUUUUGUUGCAGCUUUGGAUGCUGCCCUGAGGAGGAGUUUACUAAGUUCUUGAAAGAGAAGAGUGUUCCUCACAACUGAAGCUUCUUGAUUCUCCGGUGAUAAAGACCCAUGAUGAUGAUGAUGAUGAUGGUAGCAGUGAAGGUGCUUGUCAAUAAUAAAGUAAGCGUGCAUGCUUAUUGUCUGCUACCAAUCGAGCAUGCAUGUAGGGUAUGUGUCUCCUAGUUCUUGUUGAUUUUGCAAGAACCUUAUGUGUACGUCUAUGUCGCGUGUCCCUACUUGUGGAAUGAAAUAAAUUAGUUA